GCCGGGUGUGGUGGCGUGCACCUGUAAUCCCAGCUACUUGGGAGGCUGAGGUAGGAGAAUUGCUUGAAUCCAGGAGAUGGAGGUUGCAGUGAGCCAACUUCGUGCCACUGCACUCCAGCCUGGGUAACAGAGCAAGACUCCAUCUCGG
ensembl:misc_RNA Metazoa_SRP Metazoan signal recognition particle RNA